rnacentral:tRNA from 1 species
AGUUUCAUAGUUUAAGUUUAAAAUGUCAGACUGCAAUUCUGAAGAUACAGUACAGUUGGAGCUU